rnacentral:lncRNA from 1 species
GAACAGCAUAUGGCAUGGGUGGCUUGUCAAAAUGGCGAUCGACCCCCUUUCCUCUCACUUGGCUCCCAGCUCCCUGUGCUUUCUGUGGAGUUGGCUGAGGUUGCUGUCGGACUGACUGAUUACCAGCAGGGAUGGUUACCGCAGCAGUGUGCUGGUAGUAACGAUCCCUACCACGUCCUCUCUGGGCAUGCACAGACACAGCACUCGCG